ensembl:lncRNA
CCUCGCUCCUCUUGCAUGAGUUUUUGCAUGGGAAGAGAAUAAGGUUUGCUCUUCUGCUCCAGGCUUGGCUUGUGCUGCACCUCGAGGAGGCCUCAUUGAGACCUGCUGCAGCCUCUGUGCCCAAACACCCCCUCUUUUGGGGGGAGGCUGAUCCGGCCCAGCCGCAUGAUCGCAGUCAGGUGACGACGCCGAGCACAAAAGCAGCGCGGGAUAAGCAGCUCAGCGUGGCAGAUCAGCUGCUGCCCCGGCCCCUCUGCGAGCUGCUACUGCUCAGGGAAAAUGAGCACCUGGCCCCCUCCUCUGCUCUGGAGCCUCACCACGGUGUGUCUGACAGGUAUUGCUUUAGGCCAGACAACCACCACUCAGGCCCCUGUUGCAUCAACCUCGCUACUUCUGAGUGCUGCUACCACCCAAGUCCCUGUUGCACCAACCCAAAUGUCUUCUGUUGCCACCGCGACCUCAGCCCCCCCAUCCCCAUCUUCUGCUGGAAUGCUCUCAGUUGGAACAGUGACAAACCUCACCAGCCCUACAGUUGUGCCAUCUGCUGUCUCAAGCACAAACUCUCCCUCUCCAACUCUGCCCACCACCCCACGCAUCACUGCACUCACCUCUGGGAUUGCAACCACCCCUCAUGCACCCACAGCACCAAUGGCCACAUCCAGCAGUCCCUGGGCCACCCCUCCAGAUGUAACUGCAUCUCCUGGGGUCCCAUCAGUGGUCCCGUUUCUCAGCACCAUUGAGCCCUCAAACUGCAGCAGAGUGAAUGUGACAACAUGUGCUCCUUGCUCCCCAGGGACCAUUCCCAGCAAUGACACCUGGAGCUGCUUGUGCUGCACGGAGGGCUCAUGUGUGGACCCUGGUGCCUGUGCUCCUUGCCCUGUGGGACACUACCAGCCUGAGAGGGGACAGCAGCAGUGCCUGCCGUGUCCAAAGGGACGUUACGCCAACACUACGAGGAGCACCGUGUGCUCACCCUGCCUGCCUGGCCACUAUGCCAACGAGUCGGGGGCCGCAGCCUGCAGCGCGUGCCAGAAAGGUUAUUUUAGCUCACAGCAAAAUGCAGCUUCUUGUCUGCCUUGCCUGCCUGGAUCGUUCUGCAACACCACCAGCUGCACGCUGUGUCUGGCCUGUCCUGCUGGGCGUGAGGCUCCACGGGAGGCUGCUGAGGAGUGUACACUGUGCCGGGCAGGUACGUUCAAAGGUCUGGGUGAUGACACCUGCAAGCCCUGCGAGCCAGGGGAAUACCAACUGCAGCAGGGCCAGGAGAGCUGUGACCUGUGUCCAGAGAACCACUACUGCCCUAGCCCAGAUGUGAACCCAAUCAAGUGCCCUCCUGAUGCCUUCUGCCCUGUGGGCAGCACUGAGCCCCAGUACUGCAUGGAGAUCUUCCUGUACAAGGUGGGCAGCUCCUGCCAGCUGACGCCACUGGUGAUCGUCCUCCUGGCCCUCUUCUCAGCAGGCUUCCCCCAUCCUGACGGCACAGUGACCU